CUAUCACUCUGAUCCGAUUACAUCCACGUGCAGUCGGUCGACAUGGGCCUUCAGCACUGAUCGCCUCGAAUUGUUCGCGAUCGUCGUGGUAGACAGGGGUGUGACAGCGAUGUCAUCCAGUGUUGUCGACGAUCAACCCGUGC
rnacentral:misc_RNA from 1 species